rnacentral:tRNA from 1 species
GCCAUUGUAGUUUAAUAAAAACAUUAGAUUGUGAUUCUAAAAACAAAAGUUAAAACCUUUUUAAUAGCC